rnacentral:rRNA from 1 species
GAUGAACGCUGGCGGCGUGCCUAACACAUGCAAGUCGAGCGUGAUUUAUGAGGACGCAACUUCGGUCUAGGAAUCAUACUGAAAGCGGCGGACGGGAGAGUAACGCGUAGGCAACGUGCCCUUGACACAGGGAUAGCCUCGGGCAACCGGGAUUAAAACCUGAUGACGCCAAACAGUCACAUGGCUGUUUGGCCAAAGAUUUAUCGGUCACGAAUGGGACUGCGUCUGAUUAGUUAGUUGGUGGGGUAACGGCCUACCAAGACGAGUAUCAGUAGCCGACCUGAGAGGGUGAUCGGCCUCAAUGGAACUUAGACACGGUCCAAACUCCUACGGGAGGCAGCAGUGGGGAAUAUUGCAUAAUGGGCGAAAGCCUGAUGCAGCAACGCCGCGUGAGCGAUGAAGGACUUUGGGUCGUAAAGCUCUGUCCUUGGGGAAGAAACAAAUGACGGUACCCAAGGAGGAAGCCCCGGCUAACUACGUGCCAGCCGCCGCGGUAACAC